GACGAACGCUGGCGGCGUGCUUAACACAUGCAAGUCGAACGAUGAAGCCGGAGCUUGCUCCGGUGGAUUAGUGGCGAACGGGUGAGUAACACGUGAGCAAUCUGCCCUUGGCUCUGGGAUAACUGCGGGAAACUGUAGCUAAUACCGGAUACGACACCUUGGGGCAUCCCAGGGUGUGGAAAGAAUUUCGGUCAAGGAUGAGCUCGCGGCCUAUGAGCUAGUUGGUGAGGUAAUGGCUCACCAAGGCGACGACGGGUAGCCGGCCUGAGAGGGUGACCGGCCACACUGGAACUGAGACACGGUCCAGACUCCUACGGGAGGCAGCAGUUUGGAAUUUUGGACAAUGGGCGAAAGCCUGAUCCAGCGACGCCGCGUGCACGAAGAAGGUCUUCGGAUUGUAAAGUGCUUUUGCCGCCGAAAAAUUUUUGAUUGUAGGCGGAGAAUAAGAGGUUGCUAACUCUGUGCCAGCAGCCGCCGUAA
rnacentral:rRNA from 1 species